rnacentral:rRNA from 1 species
AUUGAACGCUGGCGGCAGGCUUAACAUAUGCAAGUCGAGCGGGGUGAUGGUGCUUGCACUAUCACCUAGCGGCGGACGGGUGAGUAAUGCUUAGGAAUCUGCCUAUUAGUGGGGGACAACAUCUCGAAAGGGAUGCUAAUACCGCAUACGUCCUACGGGAGAAAGCAGGGGAUCACUUGUGACCUUGUGCUAAUAGAUGAGCCUAAGUCGGAUUAGCUAGUUGGUGGGGUAAAGGCCUACCAAGGCGACGAUCUGUAGCGGGUCUGAGAGGAUGAUCCGCCACACUGGGGCUGAGACGCGGCCCAGACUCCUACGGGAGGCAGCGGUGGGGAAUAUUGGACAAUGGGGGGAACCCUGAUCCAGCCAUGCCGCGUGUGUGAAGAAGGCCUUAUGGUUGUAAAGCACUUUGAGCGAGGAGGAGGCUCUUUCGGUUAAUACCCAAGAUGAGUGGACGUUACUCGCAGAAUAAGCACCGGCUAACUCUGUGCCAGCAGCCGCCGUAA